AUUGAACGCUGGCGGCAGGCCUAACACAUGCAAGUCGAACGAGUGGCGGACGGGUGAGUAAUGUCUGGGAAACUGCCUGAUGGAGGGGGAUAACUACUGGAAACGGUAGCUAAUACCGCAUACCAUCAGAUGUGCCCAGAUGGGAUUAGCUUGUUGGUGGGGUAACGGCUAACCAAGGCGACGAUCCCUAGCGGGUCUGAGAGGAUGACCAGCCACACUGGAACUGAGACACGGUCCAGACUCCUACGGGAGGCAGCAGUUGGGAAUAUUGGACAAUGGGCGCUAGCCUGAUGCAGCCAUGCCGCGUGUGUGAAGAAGUUCUUCGGAUUGUAAAGCACUUUAAGUUGGGAGGCGUUACCAACAGAAUAAACACCGGCUAACUUCGUGCCAGCCGCCGCGGUAAUUC
rnacentral:rRNA from 1 species